CGGCAGGCCUAACACAUGCAAGUCGAACGGUAACAGGAAGCAGCUUGCUGCUUGCUGACGAGUGGCGGACGGGUGAGUAAUGUCUGGGAAACUGCCUGAUGAGGGGGAUAACUACUGGAAACGGUAGCUAAUACCGCAUAACGUCGCAAGACCAAAGAGGGGGACCUUCGGGCCUCUUGCCAUCAGAUGUGCCCAGAUGGGAUUAGCUUGUUGGUGGGGUAACGGCUCACCAAGGCGACGAUCCCUAGCUGGUCUGAGAGGAUGACCAGCCACACUGGAACUGAGACACGGUCCAGACUCCUACGGGAGGCAGCAGUGGGGAAUAUUGCACAAUGGGCGCAAGCCUGAUGCAGCCAUGCCGCCGUGUAUGAAGAAGGCCUUCGGGUUGUAAAGUACUUUCAGCGGGGAGGAAGGUGUUGUGGUUAAUAACCACAGCAAUUGACGUUACCCGCAGAAGAAGCACCGGCUAACUCCGUGCCAGCCGCCGC
rnacentral:rRNA from 1 species